UGGCCUAUCAGAAGCUGCACGA
rnacentral:siRNA from 1 species